ACGGAGGGUGCGAGCGUUGUCCGGAAUCACUGGGCGUAAAGGGCGCGUAGGCGGCCUGAUAAGUAGGGGGUGAAAUCCUGCGGCUUAACCGCAGGGCUGCCUUCUAAACUGUCGGGCUUGAGCACAGUAGAGGCAGGUGGAAUUCCCGGUGUAGCGGUGGAAUGCGCAGAUAUCAGGAAGAACACCCGUGGCUAAGGCGGCUCUCUAGUACGGUACUGACGCUGAGACGCGAAAGCGUGGGGAGCGAACAGGA
rnacentral:rRNA from 1 species